CAAAUUUUAUACCAGAAGUCAGGAAUGAGAAAAUGUAAGGUUCUCCAGGCAUUUAAAUGUUAAUUUCUCUGCCCUGCAUAUGUUUCAAAAGAUGUUCCAAAUCUGAUCCUGAAUCCAAACUAAUCAUCCAUAAUGUGGGCGGGUUAGCAUUAGCAUAAUUUAUCUUCUGAUUUUUUAAUUUCAUAAACAAUAUUUAUACAUAACUAUUCUGUAUACUCCUGAACAUUUACGAGGGCCUAUCAUGUGCCAAACUCUUCUGUAUUUUGUAUCUUCAUGUACCUAAAGCUUUCAUCUUCACACAACUCCUGCAAGAUGCUGUGUUAUUAUCUCUAUUUUACAGUUGAAGAAACAGGCUCAGAAUGGUUCAUUGACUUGCCUGAGGCCACACAGCUGAAAGGUGAUGGAGCCUGUGGGAAAUUCAAGUCACCUUGGCUCCAAGCCCCACUCCACCAUGCUGCCUUUCUCUAAGAUUGAACCAGAACUCUACAACUCAGCAAAAAGGUUGAAAGUCUUCCCUAACAUAGUGUGUCCUCUUUCUCCCUGCCACACCAAGAGAAGCUAAAACCAGAAGAGGGAAGAAGAACAAAAGUGAAAGCAGAGGCCAGUUCUACUGUAGUCCUCCUCUCCAUAGAGGGUCCAGAGAGCCUAGGUCAGGCCUGAGCCUCUGAAGGGAAGGGGACCAGACUGGAGUUUAAAUCAAACUGGACUCCGUGUGUGCAUGUGUGUGAGCACAUUUGUAAAACUAUAACAUGAUGACUUUUCAGUGUAAAAAAUGGAACUGCAUGUCCCCUUCCAUGAAUGUAUCUUAUUCCUGUCUCUAUUAAUAUAGCAAAACUAUAAAAAGUGAGAUUAUAGCCUGAUGGUAUCUUGAUCUUAAAUCAUCUAUGUGGCUAAUCAUGAGGUUAAGGACUGUUAGAAAACCAAGAUGACUGUUGGAAUUUAAGCCCAAAAUUACUCCAGCUUUGCAGAUUGAGAUUUUUUUUUUUUUUUUGAGACAGAGCCUCGCUCUUGUCACCCAGACUGGAAUGCAAUGGUGCGAUCUCAGCUCACUGCAUCCUCUGCCUCCUGGGUUCAAGCCAUUCUCCUGCCUCAGCCUCCCGAGUAGCUGGGAUUACAGGUGGCUGCCACCAUGCCCAGCAAUUUUUGUAUUUUUAGUAGAGGCGGGGUUUCACCAUGUUGGCCAGGCUGGCCUCGGACCCCGACCUCAAAUGAUACACCCACCUCAGCCUCCCAAAGUGCUGGGAUCACAGGAGUGAGCCAUCGUGCCUGGCCAGAUUGAGAAUUUUUCAAAUGUCCACUUUAUGGCAUUAAUCUUUCUGUACCUCACUUUUCCUUAUUAGUAAACGAUGUAGAUUUUAAAAACAAAGUAAAAAUGAAGAGUUAUUUCUGGCAGCUGGCAUCUAUGUACCCACUGUGCAGCAGCUAUAGUCUCAGCUGUGAAAUGAGAGGAUUAAUUCAUCUCUAUGUGGCAUUCUAGCUCUGAACUCUACGAAACUUAAUGCCACUAAGAAGCAUGGCAGUUUCCCAAAUGCCGACCUCCAGGCUAAGAGAGCAAAUGUACAAUGGGGUCACCAUCUGGUAUUAUAGUGACUUACUUGAGUUUCUGUGUUGUUUAAUGACUAAUUGGCUACUAACAGUGGAGUUCUCUGGAUUCAUUUAUUCUAGUCAAAUGAACACAUAAGCUAAAGUUCACAACUAAGAACUGUGCCAUUCAUUUACCAUCUGGAAAUGAAAAGCUUAAUUUUACUGCUGGGCAAAAUAGAAGACACAGAAAUCAAAUAUCAGUAGGUCGCAGUAAACUAAGUUAAAAAAAAUCCACAUUGCCAUGACCUCAUUAAGUUUAAAUAAAAAGACAUGAAUACCAA
rnacentral:lncRNA from 1 species